GGAGGAAUAUUGGUCAAUGGGCGCAAGCCUGAACCAGCCAUCCCGCGUGAAGGAAGAAUGCGCUACGCGUUGUAAACUUCUUUUUCCAGGGGGGUAGAAUAAUCCUGUCGUGACAGGACUUGACGGUACUCUGGGAAUAAGCAUCGGCUAACUCCGUGCCAGCAGCCGCGGUAAUACGGAGGAUGCGAGCGUUAUCCGGAUUUAUUGGGUUUAAAGGGUGCGUAGGCGGAUUGAUAAGUCAGUGGUGAAAUUCUACAGCUUAACUGUAGACUUGCCGUUGAUACUGUUAGUCUUGAGUGUGGUCAAGGCAGGCGGAAUGUGUAAUGUAGCGGUUGAAAUGCUUAGAUAUUACACAGAACACCGAUUGCGAAGGCAGCUUGCCGGGUUCAUUACUGACGCU
rnacentral:rRNA from 1 species